CCGGCUCCGGUUCACCUUCGCCCGCAGGAACGACGCGGGAGGACCCGGAGCC
rfam:Prauserella sp. Am3 HQ32_scaffold_4.5, whole genome shotgun sequence.